rnacentral:rRNA from 1 species
GCAGGCGGUUUUGUAAGUCUGACGUGAAAUCCCCGGGCUUAACCUGGAAAUUGCGUUGGAGACGGCAAGGCUAGAAUCCGGCAGAGGGGGGUAGAAUGCCACGUGUAGCAGUGAAAUGCGUAGAGAUGUGGAGGAACACCGAUGGCGAAGGCAGCCCCCUGGGUCGAGAUUGACGCUCAUGCACGAAAGCGUGGGGAGCAAAC